rnacentral:rRNA from 1 species
AUUGAACGCUGGCGGCAUGCCUUACACAUGCAAGUCGAACGGCAGCAUGGAGAGCUUGCUCUCUGAUGGCGAGUGGCGAACGGGUGAGUAAUGCAUCGGAACGUACCGUGUAAUGGGGGAUAACGUAGCGAAAGUUACGCUAAUACCGCAUACGACCUGAGGGUGAAAGCAGGGGAUCGCAAGACCUUGCGUUAUACGAGCGGCCGAUGUCAGAUUAGCUAGUUGGUGAGGUAAAGGCUCACCAAGGCGACGAUCUGUAGCGGGUCUGAGAGGAGGAUCCGCCACACUGGGACUGAGACACGGCCCAGACUCCUACGGGAGGCAGCAGUGGGGAAUUUUGGACAAUGGGGGCAACCCUGAUCCAGCCAUGCCGCGUGAGUGAAGAAGGCCCUCGGGUUGUAAAGCUCUUUCGGCCGGGAAGAAAUCGCACAGGCUAAUACUCUGUGUGGAUGACGGUACCGGCAUAAGAAGCACCGGCUAACUACGUGCCAGCCGCCGCCGUAA